rnacentral:lncRNA from 1 species
UAUAAAAGAGUCCUAUUUAUAUUUGUAAUUUCAACCGUUAGAUUAAAAUCUAAUAAAUGAUAUUACAUCAACUUUUAACUCUCUAUAUUCCUAACCCUAGCUCUCUUUUUCCAACUUUUUCACCCUUAACACAGGCACACAGCCUCCUUCUAUCUUUCUCUCUCUCUCUCUCUCUCUCUCUCUCUCUCUCUCUCUCUCUUUCUCUCAGCCACACUUCAGACUUUAUGCAGGUCACACACCCCCGGCGAGCGGCUAGCCGGCAGCGCACUUUUCGCCAUUCUCACACCCCCGGAUGGCGGCACGCCGGCAGCACACUCUUUGCCGUUCACACACCCCUGGCUGCGCACUCUUCGACGUUCGCACACCCCCGGCAGCGCAUUCUUCGCCGUUCACACACACCGAUGGAACUCUGGUAGCAGCGCGUUCAUUCUUCGCCGUUCGCUUUCAACAGCACACCCCGAUCUUCAUCUUUAUUUUUCCACUGAGCUAACGAGCCGAACACGAGCUAGAUCGAAUAAAUUGCAAGCCAAUCACGA